rnacentral:rRNA from 1 species
GUCUACGGCCACGCCACCCUGAACGCGCCCGAUCCCGUCUGAUCUCGGAAGCUACGCAGGGUCGGGCCUGGUUAGUACUCGGAUGGGAGGCCACCUAGGAAGACCAGGCGCUGUAGGCG